CAGUCACAUGUGUGUUCUCAUUCCAUGGAUGGACAAUGAAAGAUUGGAACAACACCAUUUUAAGCUGGCAUGUCAUGUUCAUACUCUUUUGGUAUGAAGAUAUGAUUUAAUUGCGAAUACUUUUUCACGGUUUGUCAUAUAUGUGUACGUGGCUUCAAGAAUUUAGAUCUAGCGGCUACUGGUGGUGUUGGCCCCAUGAAUCUUACUUUUUUUAAAGCUGGGUGAAGAAACGUUAGUUUCGUGCAACAAGAAACAACAAAUACUGCAAAUAAGUGUCAAUUUCGAACUGUGUAGAAAAAGGGGCAAAGUUGGUUUUGAGUGAAGACAAAUCUUCAAUACGCUAUCGCCUGUAUUGCUACCUCUGGCCGUCAUUAGCAGUGGGUUUGGUAGCAGAAAAGUUCAUGAAUUAAUGGAGUGAUUCUAUGUCAUGGCACUUUCAAAUCACAUGGAAUCCAUUACAAGUUUAAACGCAAGGUAUCACCGUCAGUGACAGGCACAUUUCUAGAUUGGCUUAACGCGUGCAGUCUGCACGCGCCAAAAAUUUUAGAGAAUAUCACAAGUUGUGAACAAGAGAUCCUGGUCCCUUGGCCCUCGUUCUCUCACCUCCAUGCCAGAUGGCCAUUAAGAAGGAUCAUAAAUAGUUUAUCUGCUUGCUAUCAUUGAAGGUAACUCGUGUUCUUAAAAGUAAGCACGACAGGCACAGAGCGACAAUGGCAACCUUCCUGCUUUUUUAUAAAAGGAUUGAGGAGACAAACAUUGGGGUUCCAGCGGUUUCCUUAGUCCAUGGAAGAAACUAAUAGGACGGGAAAUUCCAUCUUCAUCACUAACAAAAGAAAAGGCAUAUUUUUAAUUGGCUUAAUUGAUCUACUUUUCUGUCCGGGUUCACAAGUGUCAUGUAGCUGGCCACACCUCGAAAGGCUGCACGAAUCUAUUCAGUGAAUUGACAUGAAGUUGGAAAGCAGCACGAGCAAUACAUUCUGCUAUGAAAAGGAACUGUUUAAGGGCAUCGUCUUUGGAGAACGCUUUAACACUUUUGAUAGAUUCAUCCUUCAGGUUACAGGUAAAGAUGUACCUCAAUACAAAACACCCUUCGAAGAAGCUGGCCUGCUUUAAAUACUACUUCAAAACAUUAAAUAUUCUGGCUACAGAAAACCAACACGUUUUCAGAAAGCUUCAGUUGCAGGUGGCGUACUUGGAACGGUUUUGAACAUUGUUAGAACAAAGUGUUGCAGAUGCGUCUCAUGCCCUGGAGCAAAAGCCAGUAGUUGUAACACCCACUCGUGAACUGGCCAUUCUAAUUCACCGCGCGGCGUGUAAAUUCUCCUACAGUUCGGUUUUCAAGUCUGUGAUAAUAUGUGGAGGAAUUGUCACGAGCUAUCAUUAUAGAUCAGGAACAGUAAUGUAUGCCAAACAACUUAAGCUACGCGCUUUAAGUUCCCGAGAUGGCAUUCCUUACUAAAUCGCCAAUAUGUUCCGGUAUCUGACAGUUUUGAACCGCCAGAUUGCUCUAAUAAGUUGGCAUCUACUAAAUAUGUUUGCGCUAUCAAAUACCGGGGCGUAAUGGCGGUUUCGUAUUGAACAGCGGCUAUAGAACUUGACAUGCAGAGAUCAAGUUCUGUGCAAAUCGUUUGCAGUUUGAACAGGAGCGCCAAUAAGUGAGAUUCAGCUGUGGAAAUAUUAGGUAAUGGUACGACAAAUAGUGACAUCUAGCGGUGGAAAUUUAAGGUAUAUGGUACGCCAAAUAGUGCCAUCUGGCGGUGGAAAAGUAAGGUAAAUGGAACGCCAAACGGUGCCAUCUAGCGAUGAAAAAGUGAUUCGAAUGGUACGACCUGUAGUUCCAUCUUGCGGUGGAAAAGUGAGGCGAAUGGUACGCCGUAUAGUGGCAUCUCGCGGUAAAAAAGUGAGGUGAAUGGUACGCUAUCUAGGGGUCGGUAACACAGCUUGUAAUAAUUUAGUCACAUGAUAUUGUGACAGGAAAACAAAACAAGAAUUUUAAAUCACGGUAUAAAGCUUUUUUUGUCACGGUCUGCAAGGAAAUGACUCGGAAAUGGAAAUUAUGUCACUGUCUAUGUUCAACAACCAUUUGUGUAGCACCAGUAGGUAGGGAAAAUUUAAUUUGCAUUUCGUAAUUGUUUUGCCAGGGUUAUGCUGAGUGAACUUGCAGUUUUGGUAAAGUUAUUCAAGAUAAUUGCAAAUAGUAGUCCCAGAAUCAGAAGAAUUUUGUCUGACAUCUUUACUACGUGAACUUUAAAAGGCCUUGAUAUAUCAAAGGGCGCCCAAUGGAGAAAUUGUGCUUCUUCAACGAUCAAACUCAUCGAUUCCAACAGCCUGUUUGCAAACUUUCAGCCAAUGCGUUGCAAGGAAUGUAUUUCUAAUCCAGUCUUCGACACACUCAAUGCCAAGCUACCACCUUUCGAUACUUAAAAGCGAGGACCGAAUGGCACCUACACUUGGACUGGAUCGGACCGUUAUUUGGUCGAAUGGCUAGC